GUAGGGCUGUGCCGUCAGACCCCAGCUGACCCCUUUACUCCUCCUGGUGAAGGUGAGCCACAAGACAGGCUGAUGUUUUCCACCACUGCCUUGGCCAGAAGGUGGGCUGCCUCUCCUCGGGCACAGGUUGUGGACAAACCCUCUGAGUGGUUUCAUCUCACUAUGGAUGAUUGGAAAGCAGAAGAGCUGAGUCAUCCCCUGAGAAGAAACCUCCCACAGCAGAUGUUGCACCAUGCGAUCCUGCUGUCUCUUGCAGUCACUGCUGGAGGAACUCCUGUGUCACCUGAAGGCCUGCGUGGAGCCUGCCUGCUUUCUGUAGAUCAGAUGUUGGCCCAGACAGGGCUGUCUUGGAAGCAGGUGCCUCAGCAGACUGCUGUAAAUCACUCAAGCAGAGUCCUGGAAUCACAGAAUAUCCUGAGUUGGGAGGGACACACAAGGAUCAUCAAGUCCAAUUCCUAAAGUACCUUUAGUAGUUACUGAUACUGCUGAUACUUCAGUUUCCGCCAGUUCUCUGCUAACCAGACCACGAGUUUCAUGACAUUUUCUGCAAUAUUUAAACCCCAUGUCCUUGCCUUAGCUGAUUAUGUGAGAAACUUGGUUCCUGGGUUUUGUUUGGGUUUUUGUCUUGUCUUUUAAAGGUACAUCACUAGCACCAGUGCAAAAAUGAUCCUGAAAGUGUGAACGUUCCUUGUCUGUUACCUGAUUUGUUUACCUGCUGGCACAAUGCACAUAUUGGGUAUGAACAAAUGGCAUCUGUGAAAAGUAAUAUACAUAUUUAAGUAUUUUGGAGCCCAGAAGAGUUAAAUGUCUGCUUUUGGGUUUCCCUCUGGGUGUUCCAAAACAUCUGCAAGAGUUAAAGUUCUGUAUAUGUGCUGUCCUAUAUUACAGGAGCUACAUUCAUAUCUUUCAUUCUCAGCCUCCGCCUCCUCCUAUUCAAUUUACAGUCUAGACUGUUUAAAAAUAUCUUGUUACUGCUUUUUUUUUUUUUUUCCUAUGGAGAAAGGGCACUUGUGAGACAAUGCUCUCAACUGGAGAUUACACAGAUUUGUUGCAUGUUGGUGCACGAUAACAGGAGAGGUUCCAACAAGCUCCAAUAUAUAAUAAACUGUGAAAGCAUAAAUUGCA
rnacentral:lncRNA from 1 species